CUACUUCUGUUUUCGGUUUAAUUUUUGGUAGUGUUUAGGCGUUAACUGUAAUUUAUAUGUUCUAGCGAUAAAAGAAAUUUGACAACGACGGUGAUUUACACAUCAAUGAACAAUUAGUUUGAAUAGCUAUGAAUUUAUCAUCGAAAAUGUUCUAUAGGUGGUUCUGGAAUGGCUUUAGCUGUUCGUUGCAAUAAUUUCCUUAUCAUACAUGAAAUGACACGGGUAUUGACGAAGGACGAUGGAUUUUGUACGAAAGAGGAAACUGUCUUCGACGGGAAAUCAAUUGGAUCCAUGCUCAAAACAGAAAAUCAAAUCUCUCUUUGACAAGAAGUUUAGAUACGGGAUUUCUGGGGAUUGGAAAUUGCCACCACUUGUACAAAAUGAUUGUCAAAAGUGGGUUCACCCAGUUCUUCAGGGUAUGAAAGAGAAACUGAACAAAGUGAAAGACAAAUUAAGUGACAAGGAAAUUUAUGCAUGGCAUGAACACACAAAGUUUAUGAACAUUGCAGGCAAUGUAAUAUCAAAUGUUAAACAGAUUAUACGUCCAGAACUUUGUACGCAAGCUUGGUGCAAGUUUUACGAAAUCCUGUCAUCAUAUCCUUUAAUAAACCAUGAAUCAUUGAAGUUGAAUACUGUUCAUCUAUGUGAAGCUCCUGGGGCCUUUGUCACAAGUUUGAAUCAUUAUCUUGUGUCAAAUGAGUAUAAAGGACUCUGGACUUGGUUAGGCAGCACUUUGAAUCCUUACUAUGAAGAGAAUCCACUGGGAAAAAUGAUUGAUGACGACCGUUUUAUCCGAGAGAGUUUUGAUUUCUGGUACUUUGGGAAGGACAACACAGGGAAUUUGAUGGAUUUUAAAAACUUGGAGGGCCUUCUUGACUUAGUCUCUACAAUGGGAGACAUUCACCUGGUGACUGCAGAUGGCUCCAUUGACUGCCAGGAUGAUCCUGGGGAACAGGAGCAGAUUGUGUCCUGUCUCCAUUACUGUGAGGCUCUGGCAGGGAUCUUGAUUCUCUCUACUGGUGGUCACAUGGUCAUUAAGAAAUUCACCAUGUUUGAAAGCCAAGCCAUUAGUCUAAUGUAUAUUCUGUGUUGUUUAUUCAAAGAGGUCUAUGUUUAUAAACCGGCAACAAGCAAAAGUGGAAACUCAGAAGUGUAUGUUGUAUGCUUGAAUUUUCAUGGACUUCAGGAAAGAAAAGAAGAGUUCAUUAAAUUCUGUAAACCAUUUUUUGAGAAUGGAAUCUCAGAAUUUCGAUUCCCAGAGAGUUUUCUGCCUCCUGAUUUUAUGUCUGAACACAUUAGAAUGUGUGAGGAGUUUACUGACAGACAGAUGGACACUAUAAAGUGUAACUUAGAUCACUAUCCCAGUAUGUCUGAGCAGUAUGGUCGCUGGAUAGAAACUGUCAAGGACGCCUGUGCUGAUAUAUACAUCAACACUUAUGAACUUCGUCCCAUACCAAUCAACUGCAGAAUGUUUCCUUUCAAAAAGAAAAAGAAGAAAUUGCAGACUUGGACUCAGACUAAGUGUUUUUCUGCAGAGGCUUUAGCAAAGGGUAGAAAGGGAACAUUCAAUGAUAGACAGAGGAUUAUGGGAGCAUCUCUACUGGACAGGAUUAAACAGAUCACUCCAUACAAAUUAGAAAAACAGAAUCUGUUUUCUUAUGAGCCAGAUUUGGAGCAUGUGAAGGACAUGGAAAAAUGGACGUUGUCACAUGGGAAACCAGUGGAGGAUGUUCAGAGUUCUUGUUUCUGUGCCGGAAACAUCAUACAGCAAAUGAAUCUUCUGCAGGUACAAGCUAGAAAGCUAUGAAUACAUGUGUAUUACAUGUAUACCAGCUUGAUAAGAAAAUAACUUAUAUGAGAUUGUCAAAAUCAGCUUACAAUUCUUGUUCUGAAUGUACAGAGUAAUGUGUUCUUUGGAUAAAAUAUCACUUGUGAAAGAACAACUGAAGCAAGUUACCAGCAUUUAAAGUGUAAAUUUCGUUAUUCUCUCAAUUGUAUAUUUUGAUGAAUUGGAGCCUAAAGACAUCAGAAGAUUGAAAUGAACAUGAAAAUUCUAGCAUAAAACCUAAAGGCUGUUGAAUCAUUGAGUGUAUCAAUAAAUUACAGACAUGGUUUUUUUUUUCUCAGAAUGAUAAAUUCGUACAAUUUUUCUUAAUGAUACAAACAUGUACCUCAUAGUUUUACAAUUUCUUAAAGUUUCUUUAAUAGUUUAUUCAAAUAGGAUUGUUGAUAAAAAAUGCAAGUGCUCUAGUCUAUUUUGCUUUUUAGAAAUAUCAGCAAUGGACAGAGGAGGUAGAGGAUUUGGUCACUGAGGCUUUGUCUGUUUUGUACUCGGUCUGUAACAAACCGAUGUCCCUUAACCUCAGUGAGGCACUACAGGGGCACAUAGAUCUACAGAAUGUCCAGCAAUUGGACUUUGUUAAAGAAAUUGUUGGUGGAUGCUUUUCCAGUGAGAGGACAGAACAGAAUGAAGGACUUUGUCAUGUAAAGGGAGACUACUCAUCAAGUGAAGUAGACUCACAGGAUUACUUACUGAAGGAAGUCAGUGCUUUACUACGGAAUAUUCAAAAGGGAAGUUCAGUGGUGUGGAUAUUUUCUACCUGUCUCCUGCGAUGGACAGCAGGAGUUGUCUAUCUUUUAUCACAAUGUUUUCAAAAGGUAACAUGUACAUGUGCAUUGUAAACUAUAUGGAUACUGAAAGCAUAUUUACAUAGACUACAUCUUGGAAAUAUUGUCAUUUUGGGCACAGCUACAGGUUCAUUAUGAUAAUGUUCUAAUAAGGGAUUUUAAGUGCUAAUAAAAAUGUCAAUUAAUUUUAAGACUUAUGAUUUUAAAGGUUUGGAUUUGAUAUAUUUGCUUGAAAACCGACUGCCAGUCUUACAAACACUUACUGGCCAUAAGCAAACUUCAUGAAAUUUUCUCGAUUUCACGAAAAGUUAAUGCCCUACUCUUGAUUGAUUCGCACUACAGUAUCAUGAUUGAAAAAUCUCAAUGAUCAUAUGAGUUCUAUGACAUGUUUAUUAACAGUAUCAUGUUACUGUUUUGACAGAGUUUUACUUUGUCAUUGGUGGUUUGAAGAAAUUUCACCGUUUGCUCUCGUGGCUAGUAAGCACACUAUGUGCUCCUGGCUGGGGGUGUCCAAUAAUGAUAAUACAUAGAAUGUUGUUAAAUUCUGGUUUUUAGACAUUUUAUUUCAAAGUAGGUAUAUAAAUUUUCUGCAUUUUGGGGAGGGGUGGGGGGAGUGAAUUUUUGAUUUAUUGUUUAAAAGAAUAUGAUAUAUCAAACACAUUAUUUUAGAUGAUUUUGCAACUUUUAG
rnacentral:misc_RNA from 1 species